rnacentral:rRNA from 1 species
GACAGAGGGUGCAAACGUUGUUCGGAAUUACUGGGCGUAAAGCGUGUGUAGGCGGCUAAGUAAGUCGGAUGUGAAAGCCCCGGGCUCAACCCGGGAAGUGCACUCGAUACUGCUUAGCUUGAGUAUCGGAGAGGUUGGUGGAAUUCUCGGUGUAGAGGUGAAAUUCGUAGAUAUCGAGAGGAACAUCUGUGGCGAAGGCGGCCAACUGGACGAAUACUGACGCUGAGACACGAAAGCGUGGGGAGCAACCGGG